GCAAAGUGGCUCUCAGCAGCCCAGACCGAUCAAUGUGGCACAUGCAAUUUAUUGCUUGAUAUAAGCGUCUUCAGACCAGAAGCCACAUCUGUUUCAGCGGCUCCUGCUUAACCCUGGGGAGUGCCUUUCACACGGCAGGUGCUCAGUAAACCUAGAUUCAGUGGAAUAAUACAUAUCCAAGCUCUUCUUUUACUUUGUUUGGUGUGAUUAAGAAUCCCUGCGUGGAAAGAAAUGUUCAUUUCAGCACUCCUUUCCAACAAAUACAUCUUCAUGUAAAAGGCAAAGCCUUCAGAGCUUGUAUAGUUCCUGGUUUUU
rnacentral:lncRNA from 10 species